rnacentral:rRNA from 1 species
AGAAUCAACGCUGGCGGCGUGCCUAACACAUGCAAGUCGAACGCGAAAGGGACUUCGGUCCUGAGUAGAGUGGCGAACGGGUGAGUAACGCGUGGGUGACCUACCCUCGAGUGGGGGAUAACGUUCCGAAAGGGACGCUAAUACCGCAUGACAUUCCGGGUUUGAAGACCUGGAAAUCAAAGCCGGGGACCGCAAGGCCUGGCGCUAGAGGAGGGGCCCGCGUCUGAUUAGCUAGUUGGUGUGGUAACGGCUCACCAAGGCUCCGAUCGGUA